AUUUCUGCCCUAAAGCUGUCCAACUAAGUUCUUGAGAAUGAUUGAUGGAAUGAAGGUGGAAGAAAGUUAGAAAUUUGGAGAAGGAUAUCAAGAGGACUUCGAGGGAACUCCCGGCGAAGCGUCUUAG